rnacentral:rRNA from 1 species
GACGAACGCUGGCGGCGUGCCUAAUACAUGCAAGUCGAACGCUUCUUUCCUCCCGAGUGCUUGCACUCAAUUGGAAAGAGGAGUGGCGGACGGGUGAGUAACACGUGGGUAACCUACCCAUCAGAGGGGGAUAACACUUGGAAACAGGUGCUAAUACCGCAUAACAGUUUAUGCCGCAUGGCAUCAGAGUGAAAGGCGCUUUCGGGUGUCGCUGAUGGAUGGACCCGCGGUGCAUUAGCUAGUUGGUGAGGUAACGGCUCACCAAGGCCACGAUGCAUAGCCGACCUGAGAGGGUGAUCGGCCACACUGGGACUGAGACACGGCCCAGACUCCUACGGGAGGCAGCAGUAGGGAAUCUUCGGCAAUGGACGAAAGUCUGACCGAGCAACGCCGCGUGAGUGAAGAAGGUGUUCGGAUCGUAAAACUCUGUUGUUAGAGAAGAACAAGGACGUUAGUAACUGAACGUCCCCUGACGGUACCUAACCAGAAAGCCACGGCUAACUACGUG